rnacentral:rRNA from 1 species
AGCAGUAGCCACGGGAAUACAGAGGGUGCGAGCGUUAAUCGGAUUUACUGGGCGUAAAGCGUGCGUAGGCGGCUUCUUAAGUCGGAUGUGAAAUCCCUGAGCUUAACUUAGGAAUUGCAUUCGAUACUGGGAAGCUAGAGUAUGGGAGAGGAUGGUAGAAUUCCAGGUGUAGCGGUGAAAUGCGUAGAGAUCUGGAGGAAUACCGAUGGCGAAGGCAGCCAUCUGGCCUAAUACUGACGCUGAGGUACGAAAGCAUUGGGAGCAAACAGGAUUAGAUACCCCUGUAGUCCCUGUCUCUUAUAC